ACGCACUAAUAGCACCAGCGAUGAAAAUGGACUGGUGCUGGGUCGUAUCACUCCCUCCUCCAGCAUUUCUGCCACCAUCUUCUCCAUGACCUAUUUCUGAAAGUACAGGUACCUGUAUGGUUUAACAUUCACUGGUUGCGCCCCUGGAAUAAGGUGUAUUGAAUGAUCUUGAACACGAGAAGGUGGCAAUCCUUUAGGUUUCUGAAACACAUCAUCAUAUGACUCCAAAAUACCCCUCAAAUCAGAGGUCAUUUCACCUGCACAAUUCUCUUCAGGAGUAACCAUUGCCAAUAAAAAGAAAGAAGCAAUAGCAUCAGUUGAUGUCAUCCGCCUUAAGCUAUGUAGCUAGAUCUGAUGAGCAUCUGUGGGCGAAUAUCCCUUCCAUAACCACUUAGACCCCUAUAAAUUAAAUUCAAAUUCCCUUGUUGCAUAAUUAGUCACAACACGCCCCAAUGUGGCCAACCAUGCCACUCCAAAGACUACAUCAGCGCCUUGUAAAGGUAAGACAUAAAGAUCCUUGACUAGAGUACACCCUUGAAUUAGUAAGCGAACUUGCUUCACUACACCUUCACAUGAUAGCCUUUGUCCAUUUCCUACUAUGACUGCAAAACGAGGAAUGAGCUCUACUUGGAGCUGAAGAUGUUUGGCCGCACGUGGUUGCAA
rnacentral:lncRNA from 1 species